UUUCCGUAGGUGAACCUGCGGAAGGAUCAUUACAGUAGUCACCCAGGUUGCCGCAAGGCCUCCUGGGUAACCUACCACCCUUUGUUUAUUACACUUUGUUGCUUUGGCAAGCCUGCCCUCGGGCUGCUGGCUCCGGCCGGCGAGCGCUUGCCAGAGGACCUAAACUCUGUUUGUCUAUACUGUCUGAGUACUAUAUAAUAGUUAAAACUUUCAACAACGGAUCUCUUGGCUCUC
rnacentral:misc_RNA from 1 species